rnacentral:rRNA from 1 species
GACGAACGCUGGCGGCGUGCUUAACACAUGCAAGUCGAACGACGUGGCGAACGGGUGAGUAACGCGUAAUCAACCUGCCCUUCAGAGGGGGACAACAGUUGGAAACGACUGCUAAUACCGCAUACUGAAGGAGGGGAUUGCGUCUGAUUGGCUAGUUGGAGGGGUAACGGCCCACAAAGGCGAUGAUCAGUAGCCGGGCUGCGAGGAUGAACGGCAACAGUGGGAAUGAGUAACGGCCCAGACUCCGACGGGAGGAAGGAGGGGGGAAGCUUCCGCAAUGGACGAAAGUCUGACGGGGCAACGCCGCGUGAGGGAUGACGGCCUUCGGGUUGUAAAGCUCUGUUAAUCGGGACGCGGUACCGGAAUAGAAAGCCACGGCUAACUACGUGCCAGCAGCCGCGGUAAUUC